AGGAGGACCAGGAGCUGAAGGCC
rnacentral:piRNA from 1 species